AUACGGAGGGGACAAGCGUUAUUCGGAAUCACUGGGCGUAAAGGACGCGUAGGCGGGUUAUUAAGUCGGGUGUGAAAUCCAAUGGCUCAACCAUUGAACUGCAUUCGAAACUGAUAACCUAGAGUAUGGAAGGGGCAGGUGGAAUUAGUGGUGUAGGGGUAAAAUCCGUAGACAUCACUAGGAAUACCGAAAGCGAAGGCGACCUGCUGGGACAUUACUGACGCUGAGGCGUGAAAGCGUGGGGAGCAAACAGGAUUAGAUACCCGAGUAGUCC
rnacentral:rRNA from 1 species